AAUCAACGCUGGCGGCGUGCCUAACACAUGCAAGUCGAACGCGAAAGUCCCUUCGGGGAUGAGUAGAGUGGCGUCCGGGUGAGUAACGCGUGGGUAAUCUACCUUCGGGUGGGGAAUAACCCAGGGAAACUUGGGCUAAUACCGCAUAAUGCAGCGGCUCGACAUCGAGACAGUUGUUAAAGCAGCAAUGCGCCUGAAGAGGAGCCUGCGUCUGAUUAGCUUGUUGGUGAGGUAAUGGCUCACCAAGGCUACGAUCAGUAGCUGGUCUGAGAGGACGGGCAGCAACAAUGGCACUGAAACACGGGACAUACUCCUACGGGAAGCAGCAGUGGGGAAGUUUGCGCAAUGGGCGAAAGCCUGACGCAGCAACGCCGCGUGAAGGAUGAAGGUCUUAGGAUUGUAAAAUCCUUUCACCGGUGAAGAUAAUGACUGUAGCCGGAGAAGAAGCCCCGGCUAACUUCGUGCCAGCCGCCGCAGUAACAC
rnacentral:rRNA from 1 species